rnacentral:rRNA from 1 species
GAGUUUGAUCUUGGCUCAGAUUGAACGCUGGCGGAAUGCUUUACACAUGCAAGUCGAACGGCAGCACGGGGGCAACCCUGGUGGCGAGUGGCGAACGGGUGAGUAAUACAUCGGAACGUGCCCAGUCGUGGGGGAUAACGUAGCGAAAGCUACGCUAAUACCGCAUACGAACUCUGGUUGAAAGCGGGGAGUCGCAAGACCUCGCGCGAUUGGAGCGGCCGAUGGCAGAUUAGGUAGUUGGUGGGGUAAAGGCUCACCAAGCCGACGAUCUGUAGCUGGUCUGAGAGGACGACCAGCCACACUGGGACUGAGACACGGCCCA